CCUACGGGGCGCAGCAGUGGGGAAUAUUGCACAAUGGGGGGAACCCUGAUGCAGCGACGCCGCGUGGGUGAAGGAGUAUUUCGGUAUGUAAAGCCCUAUCAGCAGGGAAGAACAAUGACGGUACCUGACUAAGAAGCACCGGCUAAAUACGUGCCAGCAGCCGCGGUAAUACGUAUGGUGCAAGCGUUAUCCGGAUUUAUUGGGUUUAAAGGGUGCGCAGGCGGGAGAUCAAGUCAGCGGUAAAAUGUCGGGGCUCAACCCCGGCCGGCCGUUGAAACUGGUUUUCUAGAGUUGGGGGGAAGUAU
rnacentral:rRNA from 1 species